rnacentral:rRNA from 1 species
CGGGUACAGUGGCAAACGGGUGCGUAACGCGUAAGCAACCUGCCCACAACCGGGGGAUAGCCUGGCGAAAGCCGGGGUAAACCCGCAUGGUUCCCCUUAGUUGCAUAGCUUUUGGGAUAAACAUUUAUGGGUUGUGGAGGGGCUUGCGUCUGAUUAGGUAGUUGGUGGGGUAGUGGCCCACCAAGCCGAUGAUCAGUAGGGGUUCUGAGAGGAUUGGCCCCCACAUGGGUACUGAGAUACGGACCCAACUCCUACGGGAGGCAGCAGUAGGGAAUAUUGGGCAAUGGAGGCAACUCUGACCCAGCCAUGCCGCGUGCAGGAUGAAGGCGCUCAGCGUCGUAAACUGCUUUUAUCUGGGAAGAACAGUGGUUGUGCGCAAUCAUGUGACGGUACCAGAGGAAUAAGCGCCGGCUAACUCCGUGCCAGCAGCCGCGGUAAUACGGAGGGUGCAAGCGUUGUCCGGAUUUAUUGGGUUUAAAGGGUGCGUAGGUGGCGUCUUAAGUCUGGUUUGAAAGCAGGCGGCUCAACCGUCUGAUGUGGCUGGAAACUGGGGCGCUUGAAUGGGUUGGCGGUAGCCGGA